CACAUGCAAGUCGAACGAAGUUAGGAAGCUUGCUUCUGAUACUUAGUGGCGGACGAGUGAGUAAUGCUUAGGAAUCUGCCUAGUAGUGGGGGAUAACUUGGGGAAACCCAAGCUAAUACCGCAUACGACCUACGGGUGAAAGGGGGCGCAAGCUCUCGCUAUUAGAUGAGCCUAAGUCGGAUUAGCUAGUUGGUGGGGUAAAGGCCUACCAAGGCGACGAUCUGUAGCUGGUCUGAGAGGAUGAUCAGCCACACUGGGACUGAGACACGGCCCAGACUCCUACGGGAGGCAGCAGUGGGGAAUAUUGGACAAUGGGCGAAAGCCUGAUCCAGCCAUGCCGCGUGUGUGAAGAAGGCCUUUUGGUUGUAAAGCACUUUAAGUGGGGAGGAAAAGCUUAUGGUUAAUACCCAUAAGCCCUGACGUUACCCACAGAAUAAGCACCGGCUAACUCUGUGCCAGCAGCCGCGGUAAUACAGAGGGUGCAAGCGUUAAUCGGAAUUACUGGGCGUAAAGCGCGCGUAGGUGGUUAUUUAAGUCAGAUGUGAAAGCCCCGGGCUUAACCUGGGAACUGCAUCUGAUACUGGAUAACUAGAGUAGGUGAGAGGGGAGUAGAAUUCCAGGUGUAGCGGUGAAAUGCGUAGAGAUCUGGAGGAAUACCGAUGGCGAAGGCAGCUCCCUGGCAUCAUACUGACACUGAGGUGCGAAAGCGUGGGUAGCAAACAGGAUUAGAUACCCUGGUAGUCCACGCCGUAAACGAUGUCUACCAGUCGUUGGGUCUUUUAAAGACUUAGUGACGCAGUUAACGCAAUAAGUAGACC
rnacentral:rRNA from 1 species